UCCUAUGCUGGCCUCUUCGCGGGUAAACCCGCUCCUACAAGGUUCCUGUAGGAGCGGGUUUACCCGCGAAGAGGCCAGCACAGGA
rnacentral:antisense_RNA from 1 species